rnacentral:rRNA from 1 species
UACGUAGGGUCCAAGCGUUAUCCGGAAUUACUGGGCGUAAAGCGUGUGUAGGCGGGCACUUGCGUGCAAUGCGAAAUCCUGUGGCUCAACCAUACGGACUGUAUUGCAUACGGGGUGCCUUGAGGAUGGCAGAGGCAAGUGGAACUGGUAGUGUAGCAGUGAAAUGCGUAGAUAUUACCAAGAACACCAAUGGCGAAGGCAGCUUGCUGGGCCAUUUCUGACGCUGAGACACGAAAGCGUGGGGAGCGAACAGG